rnacentral:misc_RNA from 1 species
AACCGCCGUAUACGAGACCCGUACGUACGGUGGUGUGAGAGGCGCACUCCGUCAAUUAACGGCGGAGCCGUCUACUCGAU